GCCGGAGGAUGCAAUCGUUAUCCGGAAUGAUUGGGCGUAAAGCGUUCGCAGGUGGCUGUUCAAGUCUGCUGUCAAAGACCGGGGCUUAACCCUAGAAAGGCAGUGGAAACUGGACGGCUGGAGUGCAGUAUGGGUAGAGGGAAUUCCCAGUGUAGCGGUGAAAUGCGUAGAGAUUGGGAAGAACACCGGUGGCGAAAGCGCUCUGCUGGACUGCAACUGACACUGAGGGACGAAAGCUAGGGGAGCGAAAGGG
rnacentral:rRNA from 1 species